AAAUAAAAUCAAGCGCCAGGACCCUGGAAGCACCGGGGUUGACGAGGAGAGGGAGUAUCGAAGGUUCGGCGGAUGCCCUCCGGCCGGUCACGGCCGUAAGCGCAGUACAAAACCCGGAGGCAACUCCGGCACAAAGACUGCAGGUGACCAAC
rnacentral:ncRNA from 2 species